UACGUAGGGCGCGAGCGUUGUCCGGAAUUAUUGGGCGUAAAGAGCUCGUAGGCGGCCUGUUGCGUCUGCUGUGAAAUCCCGGGGCUUAACCCCGGGCGUGCAGUGGAUACGGGCAGGCUGGAGGCAGGCAGGGGAGAAUGGAAUUCCCGGUGUAGCGGUGAAAUGCGCAGAUAUCGGGAGGAACACCGGUGGCGAAGGCGGUUCUCUGGGCAAUAACUGACGCUGAGGAGCGAAAGCGUGGGGAGCGAACAGG
rnacentral:rRNA from 1 species